CGGACGGGUGAGUAACACGUGGAUAACCUACCUAUAAGACUGGGAUAACUUCGGGAAACCGGAGCUAAUACCGGAUAAUAUUUUGAACCGCAUGGUUCAAAAGUGAAAGACGGUCUUGCUGUCACUUAUAGACGGAUCCGCGCUGCAUUAGCUAGUUGGUAAGGUAACGGCUUACCAAGGCAACGAUGCAUAGCCGACCUGAGAGGGUGAUCGGCCACACUGGAACUGAGACACGGUCCAGACUCCUACGGGAGGCAGCAGCG
rnacentral:rRNA from 1 species